GGUGAACGCUGGCGGCGUGCUUAAGACAUGCAAGUCGAACGCAGUCUUCGGACUGAGUGGCGCACGGGUGAGUAACACGUAACUGACCUACCCCCAAGUCGCGAAUAACCAGCCGAAAGGAUGGCUAAUACGUGAUGUGAUGAUCCUCUGUGGCGGAUCAUUAAAGACUUGAUCGCUUGGGGAUGGGGUUGCGUUCCAUAAGCUAGUUGGUAAGGUAAAGGCUUACCAAGGCAACGACGGAUAGCCGGCCUGAGAGGGUGGCCGGCCACAGGGGCACUGAGACACGGGUCCCACUCCUACGGGAGGCAGCAGUUAGGAAUCUUCCACAAUGGGCGCAAGCCUGAUGGAGCGACGCCGCGUGAGGGAUGAAGGUUCUCGGAUCGUAAACCUCUGAACCAACGACGAAAGACCCGACAAGGGAGAUGACGGUAGUUGGGUAAUAGCACCGGCUAACUCCGUGCCAGCCGCCGCAGUAAAAC
rnacentral:rRNA from 1 species